AUGACGUCCGCCGCUGCGUCCGGCUCCACCGCCACCGGUUUUCUGCCGGCCUCCCUCGCGGCACUUCUCUCGAGGCCGCUGGAUGCCGCCUCCCUUCAGGCGCCGAUCGGGACACGGAGCGUCGGCUCCCUCUUCGCGCUCCCGCCGGCUGCUACUUCGCCCGGGCAGGCGCUUGUGGCCCACACCGCCGCCGCCCCGUCAACCGCGGCUGUCGCGCCCUCGGCCACUGCGCCGCUGGUGGCGGAGGACGUCGCGCUGGCAGGCUUCGCGGCGUCAACCGCGGCCAUCGCGCCCUCUGUCACCGCGCCGGCUGCCCCUCUGACUGUCUCCACGGUGGUCUCACCUCAGCCAGUCUCCUCGAUGGGAUCGCAGCCGCCGCCGCCGUUUCACUUCGGCCAUCUCAUCACCAUCAAGUUGUCGUCGGACAAUUACAUCUUCUGGCGCGCGUAG
rnacentral:rRNA from 1 species